UACGUAGGGGGCAAGCGUUGUCCGGAUUCAUUGGGCGUAAAGAGCGUGUAGGCGGCCAGGUAGGUCGGUUGUGAAAACUGGAGGCUCAACCUUCAGAGGUCGACCGAAACCAUCUGGCUAGAGUCCGGGAGAGGAGAGUGGAAUUCCUGGUGUAGCGGUGAAAUGCGCAGAUAUCAGGAAGAACACCCGUGGCGAAAGCGGUUCUCUGGAACGGUACUGACGCUGAGACGCGAAAGCGUGGGGAGCGAACAGG
rnacentral:rRNA from 1 species